UUGAACGCUGGCGGCAUGCUUUACACAUGCAAGUCGGGCGGCAGCGCGGGGGCAACCCUGGCGGCGAGCGGCGAACGGGUGAGUAAUGCAUCGGAACGUAUCCUCGAGUGGGGGAUAACCCAGCGAAAGUUGGGCUAAUACCGCAUGAGCUCUGAGGAGGAAAGCGGGGGACCUGCGAGGGCCUCGCGCUGGAGGAGCGGCCGAUGUCCGAUUAGCUAGUUGGUGGGGUAAAGGCUUACCAAGGCGACGAUCGGUAGCUGGUCUGAGAGGAUGAUCAGCCACACUGGGACUGAGACACGGCCCAGACUCCUACGGGAGGCAGCAGUGGGGAAUUUUGGACAAUGGGGGCAACCCUGAUCCAGCCAUGCCGCGUGAGUGAAGAAGGCCUUCGGGUUGUAAAGCUCUUUCGGACGGAACGAAAUGGGCGGGACUAAUACUCCUGUCUGAUGACGGUACCGUAAGAAGAAGCACCGGCUAACUACGUG
rnacentral:rRNA from 1 species